AAUCUGCCUGCCUCUGCCUCCGGAGUGCUGGGAUUAAAGGUGUGCGCCACCACACCCGGCUUUUUUGUUUUGUUUUUUCAGUUCUGUUUCUUUACCUCGACAACUGAGCUUUAAGAGUGAGCAGAGCCAGGCAAAGAACCCAGUGCAAACACUUUGACUUUGUUUUUGUCUCACUUUGUAACCUCAGGAAACAUGGAACUUCCUACACAGCUCAGAAUCUGUGGUGAUCCUCCUGACACAGCAUCAUUGCCUUUUAAAGACAUUGUCCAGUCCAGUCUAAUUUGAGGUGGUUAUAUUGUGCUAUAAUGGGAGGACAUCCGGGAGAGAGGUGUGUGUGUGAUAGAAGAGAGCGUUGGAUCCCCUGGAACUGGAAUUAUAGACGGUCGUUAACUGUAUAGGUGCUGAUAACCCAACUUGGAUCUGCCAUCACUUUAGCCCCAAACUUUCUUGUAUUUUAAACAAACAGAGCCCCAGAUGAAUACACAGCUUA
rnacentral:lncRNA from 1 species